rnacentral:lncRNA from 1 species
UGGGGCUUCGUAGGGCCACGGGGCAGGACGGAAAGUGUGGGCUGGCAACUGCUGCUGGUUUCUUUGCAGGGGACACUGCAUAAACAUUUGCUGGAAGGAUGGAUGACGGGAUGGUAUGUCACUCACGGUCCUGUCAGCUAACGGUACACUGAGUCUCAGGGAGUCUCUACACCAUGUCUCCCUUCCGGAAGCGGAUGCAUGUCCAGGAAGUCUCAGAGUCCCAUUCCAUCCUGUGCAGGCUCUGUCCUGAGGACGUGAGAGUGACCUGUGAUUUCAGCUCUCUGUGGGGAGGACAUUUUCAGAUUGACUUCCCACGAGGGACAGAACAACCUCAUGCCCAGGCCCACGGCCCCGGUCUGGCUCGGAGGAUGCUGGGAAAUGGAGUUUGCAGAAGAAUCCAUUGAAGAAAAUCAGGCUGUAAAUACUUAACCCAGAAAGACCAUCUUGUUUCUUCCCAUCUUCCCGAACACACUGGCAAUGCCAAGACUGCUGAGGGCUCUUACCUGGCACUUGACUCUGCAUUGCCUUUGUCCCCAGUUUCUUCUUCCUGGAAAACUCUCUUAUCAGUCAUGUGAACACGUUUGUGUUUAUACUGAGAAACCUGCUCCAGAAACUGUGAGCCCUCCCAGCAUGGAGUGAACCCCAUCAUUCUGGACCUGUGAUUCCCUGCUAGAUUGGGAACAGCUCAACGUCUAGCAAAUAUUAGAUGUGGAGCAAAUAUAUCGGUGUCAGAAGGACUUUCUCUCCAACAUCGUGAGUCGUGGGACAGUCUAAUUUUUGAAGCACCCAUAACUCCCACUGUGACUGCUCCUCUGUACACAGCCAAGGUCAGCAAUAUUCUCCUUUAUCUUCAAGGCUAGACCAAGCAAGGCUCCGGGAAGGACCCUCUUGAAAGUCAAAGGAUUUCCUGGGAUUCUGGUGUCAGUAACUGUUACACAGGAAUCCAGCCCAGUGUGUGGGAUGAGUUCUGGGGGUCCCAAAGACUGCAGGCUGGAUAGGAUUUGACAUGGCUGAGAGGGCCCAUCAGGGAGCAGCUGGGCUGGAGGGGUGGGAACUGCAGGGUGGAGCGGAUGUGACCUCACUGUUGCCAUUACGAGGGUGGGGCAGAAGGUGGGAUCCUGGUCUUCUGGGGAGCCUGUGGUGCCACUGCUGGGUAUACAGAGGAGGAAGAAGAGCUUCUGGGUGAGAGGGGAGAGGGCAGUGGGCAUCAGAGAGCCAGCGGGGGCCGUGUAGAGCUGGACUUUGGAUCUGAACUGGAUGUGGACGCACUGGUGUGCGAGGGAGCUGCCAGUCCCCGGGGCGGUGGGCAGCCCCAGGCUCCCGGGGCAGCCAAAGCAGGAUUACUUACUGGUUUAGUAGAUUAAAUGCUGAGGUUUCUGUGAAUUAAACCCCGAA